rnacentral:rRNA from 1 species
CCUACGGGUGGCAGCAGUGAGGAAUAUUGGUCAAUGGACGAGAGUCUGAACCAGCCAAGUAGCGUGAAGGAUGACUGCCCUAUGGGUUGUAAACUUCGUUUAUAGGGGAAUAAAAUGUUCCACGUGUGGGAUUUUGUAUGUACCAUAUGAAUAAGGAUCGGCUAACUCCGUGCCAGCAGCCGCGGUAAUACGGAGGAUCCGAGCGUUAUCCGGAGUGAUUGGGGUUAAAGGGAGCGUAGGGGGUUUGUUAAGUCAGUGGUGACAGUUUGCGGCUCAUCCGUAAAAUUGCAGUUGAAACUGGCAGUCUUGAGUACAGUAGAGGUGGGCGGAUUUCGUUGUGUAGCGGU